rnacentral:rRNA from 1 species
AUACGGAGGGUGCAAGCGUUACUGGGAAUCACUGGGCGUAAAGCGCAUGCAGGCGGUCAGAUAAGUUAGAAGUGAAAUCCUAUAGCUCACCUAUAGAACUGCUUCUAAAACUGUUUGACUAGAGUCUGGGAGGGGAAGAUGGAAUUAGUAGUGUAGGGGUAAAAUCCGUAGAGAUUACUAGGAAUACCAAAAGCGAAGGCGAUCUUCUGGAACAGUACUGACGCUGAGAUGCGAAAGCGUGGGGAGCAAACAGGAUUAGAUACCCUAGUAGUCC